AUGUCAGGAGGAUACCUGCUGAUCAUCAGCUUGUAUCUCUCCCAGGCUUCAAAAAAGGACUCUCCAUCUUUCUGUUUGAAGGUCUAGACGUCCAUCCUAAGCUU